AACGUAGGAGACAAACGUUAUCCGGAGUUACUGGGCGUAAAGGGCGUGUAGGUGGUUUUAUAAGUCUGGCGUGAAAUUUCUCGGCUUAACCGAGGCAGGUCGUCGGAUACUAUGAGACUAGAGGACGGUAGAGGCGUGUGGAAUUCCGGGUGUAGUGGUGAAAUGCGUAGAGAUCCGGAGGAACACCAGUGGCGAAGGCGACACGCUGGGCCGUACCUGACACUGAUGCGCGACAGCAUGGGGGAGCAAACAGG
rnacentral:rRNA from 1 species